rnacentral:rRNA from 1 species
CCUACGGGAGGCAGCAGUGGGGAAUCUUGCGCAAUGGGCGAAAGCCUGACGCAGCCAUGCCGCGUGAAUGAUGAAGGUCUUAGGAUUGUAAAAUUCUUUCACCGGGGACGAUAAUGACGGUACCCGGAGAAGAAGCCCCGGCUAACUUCGUGCCAGCAGCCGCGGUAAUACGAAGGGGGCUAGCGUUGCUCGGAAUUACUGGGCGUAAAGGGAGCGUAGGCGGAUAGUUUAGUCAGAGGUGAAAGCCCAGGGCUCAACCUUGGAAUUGCCUUUGAUACUGGCUAUCUUGAGUAUGGGAGAGGUUAGCGGAACUCCGAGUGUAGAGGUGAAAUUCGUAGAUAUUCGGAAGAACACCAGUGGCGAAGGCGGCUAACUGGCCCAUUACUGACGCUGAGGCUCGAAAGCGUGGGGAGCAAACAGGAUUAGAUACCCUGGUAGUCCACGCCGUAAACGAUGAGUGCUAGUUGUCGGCAUGCAUGCAUGUCGGUGACGCGAGCUACGACAUUAAGACACUCCGCCGUCGGGAGGUACGGUCGCGAGAUAAACUACANAGAGUAGACGCGNGAGACGUGCGACGGACGACGACGAGGGAGUAGG